GAUGAACGCUGGCGGCGUGCUUAACACAUGCAAGUCGAACGGAAAGACCCUGCUUUUGUGGGGUUCUCGUGUGGCGCACGGGUGUGUAACACGUGAGUAACCUGCCCUUGACUUUGUGAGAACAUUAGGAAACAGGGGCUAAUACCGGAUAUGAUCUCCUGCUGCAUAGUGGGGAAUGGUGAGAUUCGGCGGUUGUGUCUGGUAUAGCUGCUUACCAGCUUGAUUGUGUGGUAGUGGCUUUCAAGGGCUUUGACGGGUAGCCGGCCUGAGAGGGUGACCGGCCACAUGGGGACUGAGAUACGGACCAGACUCCUACGGGAGGCAGCAGUGGGGAAUAUUGCACAAUGGGCGGAAGCCUGAUACGGCAACGCCGCGUGCGGGAUGACGGCCUUCGGGUUAUAAACCGCUUUCGCAUGUGACGAAGCGUGAGUGACGGUAAUGGGUAAAGAAGCACCGGCUAACUACGUG
rnacentral:rRNA from 1 species